rnacentral:tRNA from 2 species
GACCCCGUAGCUCAGUGGAUAGAGCACUUGACUUCGAAUCAAGUUGUCGCGCGUUCGAGUCGCGCCGGGGUCG